rnacentral:lncRNA from 1 species
GAAUUUUACAGAAGUUUCUGAACUUGGACCACCUCUUUUGAACCAACAUAAUGGUAGUGCCAUAGGAUUAACAGUCAGAAAGUCAAACAUGGCAGCUUCACUGGCCCAGUCCAUCACAAACCUUGAAGUUGAACAGGGUUUAACUGCGAGGAGUCGCUGUCUCAGAACUUUUGGGCAAGUAACCUGCCACAUUCUGAGUGGUGUGAAACUAUCUCUACUGGGCUGUCACCAGAUUUUAUCACCGCCUAACAGCCUCCAUUACCCUGCUGGAGCUGUUACAGUUCCAGUGAGUUUCCUAAGGCGCCGUAUUGAUAUUGAUAUGGAGUCUGAAUCAUCAGCAACGACUCUGGAGAUGAGAAGAAGCGUGGAUCAUGUGUCGUCUAGCUCUUCUUCUUCGACCUCUUUGAUUGAAAUGGGUACACGAAAGUAUUUAACUUUAUCCUCAAAAACGUUAUCUUUUUUUGUUUUUCACAAUUUGGGAACUAUCUAUGUAUCAGAUUGAUAUCUUGAAGCGGUUGCAAAGAGAAGCCUUCUCUGAUCUGAUGAAGCUCAGAGACAGACAAGAGAAAGUUGAGCGGAUACUUUCCUCUUAUAAACUCUCCAAAGGAGGUCCCUUUCAAGAGACUAGCACUCACGUGAAGGGUGAAGUUCACGCCCUUGGGGGAAUGCUGCUGAUGGGAAACACUGACGAGGAGAGUUUCAUUGGACUCGAGAGACAAGGAGUGAGACCUGGAUUGCUUUCAAGGUUCGUGUUCAAAACGAGCCUUAGGGAGACGGAUAAGCUUGUGGCUGAGCUCGUUGCUGGAUUCAAAGGAGAGCACAGUGAUGGUGUUUCAGGGAAACAGCUGUCUUUAGCCAAAGUCUUUUACAAGGCAGAGGUUAAUGAUUGGUUCUCUGCAGUUGCUAUUCCCGUUGGCGCGCUUUUCAGAGACAUUGAUGCUGAUGCUCUUGUGUCUUCUUACGAGGUAUCCCACUAGUUGUUGCAGAUUCUUCGUCAUGCAUUUAUGUUAUUAAUGAAGCUACUACAUUGGUGUUGCAGGGGAUGAAUUUUACAGAAGUUUCUGAACUUGGACCACCUCUUUUGAACCAACAUAAUGGUAGUGCCAUAGGAUUAACAGUCAGAAAGUCAAACAUGGCAGCUUCACUGGCCCAGUCCAUCACAAACCUUGAAGUUGAACAGGGUUUAACUGCGAGGAGUCGCUGUCUCAGAACUUUUGGGCAAGUAACCUGCCACAUUCUGAGUGGUGUGAAACUAUCUCUACUGGGCUGUCACCAGAUUUUAUCACCGCCUAACAGCCUCCAUUACCCUGCUGGAGCUGUUACAGUUCCAGUGAGUUUCCUAAGGCGCCGUAUUGAUAUUGAUAUGGAGUCU